GAGAAGGGGAAGCCUGAGAAGAUUCCUGUGGGCUGAUACACGGAGGAGAGCGCAGGACCCGCCGCACAACUGCUGCGACACAAGCCAUUGCCAAGACGCCACGGCGGGGCCCUAACCUUGGCAGGCCCAGCGCCCGGGGAGGCUCCGGAGAGCCUUUUGGAUGUGGAUCAUGGAAUCGUUUUCCGUGAUUACGGUACUUGAUACAAAGAUGAAGAAACUGAGGUCCAGAAGGAGGUGCUUUUCCAGGAAGAGUCCUCUGCAUGAAUUCUCACCCUGAAAUUCAGCCUUCAGUCCAAUCUGCUCUGCCUAGCUCCCAGGACUCCUGUGCAAAGUAUCACCCAACAAACUAAGAGGGUAACGCAAGCUGAAUUUGACUAACUCGCCUGCAUGUCAAAAUGCCAAAGAACAGGAUGGUAUUUAAUACUGUCCCCGGCUACAAUGAAGAAAAGAGAUAGGUUAAUUUAUUGUGCACAUCUGCUGAAAUACAACAAAAUCAAAAUAAACCCUAAAUUUUAAAAGUACCAGCCAUAAUAAACAAAAUGGUGGAAAAUGGAUUAUAUUUAUUAAAUUUUAAAAAACCAA